rnacentral:rRNA from 1 species
AACAUAGCCAUUAGACGAUAUUUAUGGUUAGACCUGCUCAAUGUCAGAAAUGAUAAAUGGCCGCGGUACCCCUGACCGUGCUAAGGUAGCGUAAUCAGUUGGCUUUUAAAUGGAGUCGGGUAUGAAUGGAAAAACUGGGUUUAGCUGUCUCCAGAGUAUUAUUUUGAAUUUACUGUUUAGGUGAAAAAGCCUAGUUUUAAUAAAGGGACGAGAAGACCCUUAGAAUUUUUUUUAAAGUAAUAAGAUUUUUACAAUAAUUUUGUUGGGGCGACAGAGAAAUAUUUUGAACUUUCUUUAAAUAUACAAGCCGAUUUUUAUAAGUAAGAAUAAAUUACCUGAGGGAUAACAGCAUUAUUCUAUAGUUGAGUUUGUGACCUCGAUGUUGGACUAGGAAACUAACAGGCUAGCCGUUUGUUGUGUGGGUUCUGUUCGAACUUUAAUUCCU